rnacentral:rRNA from 1 species
UACGUAGGCAGCAAGCGUUGUUCGGAGUUACUGGGCGUAAAGGGUGUGUAGGCGGUCCUCUAAGUUUGGUGUGAAAUCUCCCGGCUCAACCGGGAGGGUGCGCCGAAAACUGGAGGGCUAGAGUGCGGGAUGGGAGAGUGGAAUUCCUGGUGUAGCGGUGAAAUGCGUAGAUAUCAGGAGGAACACCGGUGGUGUAGACGGCUCUCUGGACCGCGACUGACGCUGAGACACGAAAGCGUGGGUAGCAAACAGG